CGGUCAGCAGCAGAUUCUCUGAUUCCACCCUGUUCCCAGGAGCUCUCAUUUCUAUCCGCGGCUCUUCACUUCUGAACUUCAUAAAGGACAGGAUGAAACAGUCAUAAGGAGAGAUGGUUCUUCCUGAAGCCAUUGUGAUUGGGAAGAAGCCGAGUUCUGUGGAGGGACAGUGGAAACUAUGCUCCACAUCCAUCCUACCCCAAAGUCAUUCUCCCCAGAGCUCUCCAGGUGGCCCCUCACCUGCUCACAGCCUUGCCCUCGAAGUGGCCUGUUAUCUUUCACGCAAAAGAUACUGCAUAGAGGAAAUUCCGUGAACCACAUUCGACUAUCUUCCAAUCCAAGAGUAAUUUGAGUCAAAUUGUCCAAGAAGUGCCUUUCUCUAUGAUGAGGAUGACAGUGAUGACAGUCAUCCCUCAUGGAGCAUGUACUGUGUACCAG
rnacentral:lncRNA from 1 species